rnacentral:rRNA from 1 species
GACGAACGCUGGCGGCGUGCCUAAUACAUGCAAGUCGAACGCAUUUUCUUUCACCGUAGCUUGCUACACCGAAAGAAAAUGAGUGGCGAACGGGUGAGUAACACGUGGGUAACCUGCCCAUCAGCGGGGGAUAACACUUGGAAACAGGUGCUAAUACCGCAUAAUUCCAUUUACUGCAUGGUAGAUGGAUGAAAGGCGCUUUUGCGUCACUGAUGGAUGGACCCGCGGUGCAUUAGCUAGUUGGUGGGGUAACGGCCUACCAAGGCUGCGAUGCAUAGCCGACCUGAGAGGGUGAUCGGUCACACUGGGACUGAGACACGGCCCAGACUCCUACGGGAGGCAGCAGUAGGGAAUCUUCGGCAAUGGACGCAAGUCUGACCGAGCAACGCCGCGUGAGUGAAGAAGGUUUUCGGAUCGUAAAACUCUGUUGUUAGAAAAGAACAAGGAUGAGAGUGGAAAGUUCAUCCCUUGACGGUAUCUAACCAGAAAGCCACGGCUAACUACGUG